rnacentral:misc_RNA from 1 species
UAACCGUAGGGGAACCUGCGGUUGGAUCACCUCCUUACCUAAAGAUACGCAUUGCGUAGUGUCCACACAGAUUGUCUGAUAAUAGUAAUGAGCAAGAGCACCUGUUGAUGUCGUGAGUUUCGACUCAUGAUGAUGCAAAAAACGAUUGGAUUUUCGGAUUUGGUCGGUAUUUUUGUGUCCCCAUCGUCUAGAGGCCUAGGACACCGCCCUUUCACGGCGGUAACAGGGGUUCGAAUCCCCUUGGGGACGCCAUCCGAUAAUGAGUGAAAGACAUUAUCACCUGAAUAUCUUAAAGAUGACUUUAACAAGUCGUGUUUAAGAUAUUGCUCUUUAACAAUCUGGAACAAGCUGAAAAUUGAAACGAUACAGCUGAAACUUGUCUCUCCGUAGCAGUACUGAGAUAAGGAGUACCCUGUAUCAGAGUCUCUCAAAUAAUUGCAAUGCGAUGUGUUUAUCCUUUGUUGCAGUGUGAAUGAGAAGAUACUCGGCGAAGCGUACAGCGCACGGCAACCGAAGUGAACUUGAGGUUCAUGAGGAUGGCGCGUACUGCACAAUAACGCAGAGUGUGUUCACCACCACACCAGUAAAGAAAAGACACCUUCGGGUUGUGA